rnacentral:rRNA from 1 species
UACAUGGGGUGCAAACGUUGCUCGGAAUUAUUGGGCGUAAAGCGCGCGUAGGCGGUUACUCAAGUCGGAUGUGAAAGCCCUCGGCUUAACUGGGGAAGUGCACCCGAAACUGAGUAGCUAGAGUACUAAAGAGGGUCGCGGAAUUCCCGGUGUAGAGGUGAAAUUCGUAGAUAUCGGGAGGAACACCGGUGGCGAAGGCGGCGACCUGGGUAGAUACUGACGCUGAGGCACGAAAGCGUGGGGAGCGAACGGG